GACGAACGCUGGCGGCGUGCUUAACACAUGCAAGUCGAACGGUGAAGGGACCGGUUUUUGCUGGUUCUGGAUGAGUGGCGAACGGGUGAGUAACACGUGAGUAACCUGCCCCCUUCUUCUGGAUAACCGCAUGAAAGUGUGGCUAAUACGGGAUAUUCUGCGCCUGCUGCAUGGUGGGUGUGGGAAAGAUAUUGUUUCGGUGGGGGAUGGGCUCGCGGCCUAUCAGCUUGUUGGUGGGGUGAUGGCCUACCAAGGCGGUGACGGGUAGCCGGCCUGAGAGGGUGGACGGUCACACUGGGACUGAGACACGGCCCAGACUCCUACGGGAGGCAGCAGUGGGGAAUAUUGCACAAUGGGCGCAAGCCUGAUGCAGCGACGCCGCGGGAGGGAUGGAGGCCUUCGGGUUGUAAACCUCUUUCGCCAGUGAAGCAGGCCUGUCCCUUUUGUGGGUGGGUUGACGGUAGCUGGAGAAGAAGCGCCGGCUAACUACGUG
rnacentral:rRNA from 1 species